AAGCGCUUGCGGCCAGACUUGGCCGCCGUUGCUCGGCGGGGCCUGCGCCCCGUUUGCUCUUCGGCGGUCAGGCCAGCAUCGACUCGGGCGGCUGGAUAAAGGCUGCGGGAAUGUGGCUCUUCGGAGUGUUAUAGCCCGCGGUGCAAUGCAGCCUGCCUGGGUCGAGGUCUGCGCAUCUGCUAGGAUGCUGGCGUAAUGGCCCCAAGC
rnacentral:rRNA from 1 species